UUAAGUACCCUAAUUCUCUCUCAGGUGGGACAGCUCUGACGCCCGUCUAGGCUGCCUCCCGGAGGUCCCGGGUGGGUGGGAUUGAGCCCAGAUGCACACAGCGGUGCUUCCGCUUCCGGUACUGGCCGCCUUCCCUUCCCUGUCGCACUUCCCCACUCCCCUUCCUGGCCUCACCUCUCAACUGCUUGCACCGAAUCUCAUCCGGCCUUAUGCACUGGCGUUAAGGAGUCUGUUUACCCCGAGGGCAGCAGAGGGUUUAUAAACAGGGAUGUGGCGUGAUCUCACCGGCUCUUCAGUCGAAGCUCUGGCUGAAAAAGGACAGAAGGGGCAAGAGUGGAGGCAGGUCUGCUGGGGAGAAGUACAGAGACUCGCCGUGGGGGGGAUGGGCCCCUGAAGAACGUCAACACCAAGGAGACUAAGCAGAGGCCCCGGGGAGGAGAGGAAAACCAGGAGAGAGUGUGUGUCCAGAAGCCGCUGAGGAGCAUUUCCUGAAACAGCCAGUGGCCAAGCAGGUGUUAAGAGCGACGAUAAAGCUGUGCAACUGAAGCAGCCCCAGUGAGGGAACUGACAGAGGAAUGGAGUCAAGUACUAAACACAAAGAUACUAUAGGUGGGAGCGUAGUGUAAACAUGUAAAUCAGGGGAGAAAGAAAUUCCUUCAAAUAGGACCUCCAAACAAUUGGCUGGCCAUUUCAGGGAAGGUGGAGGGAGAUGUGGUGCUCUAAAUUCAGAUUUGGAAAGGUGUGUAGCUGUUUGAAAUGUGACAGAACCACCAAAGGUGAACAAAAUCAGCUGUGCACAAUGGGACAUACAACUCACCAUUCUUUUUGUGUUGCAGACAUUUUGCAUUAAGGUAGAAAAGGCAAACAAAGAUAAUUGGAGGACCUUGAGAAAUUACUCAACUGAUGACACCACGCUCUCCUCUCCUCGAUGUGGCUACUGUCUACUUCCUCCUCCCACUCAGACUCAGUGGCCAAGUCAACACCAGUGUGGCUUUGCAGCUGUGACAGGAGGUGCUUACUCUCUCUGAGCCCCCACAGAACUGAAAGCACCUCAUGUUGACUCACUUGGGCCCAUCGCGUUGAGCCAGUGACGUGGCAUCCAUGAGCGUAGUAGUCUCAUCCAGCUGAGGAGCUCCACGCCAAAUGGAGAGGCCAAUGGCAUGAGUAGGAGCCGGGGUCCAGUCACCAGGCUGGGCAUGGAGAGGAUGACACAGGACAAAGCAGUGUCUUCAACAGAUUCCUGAGUUGGAUAAGAUGCUGUAACAGAAAAGUGCAACUCAAAUUAGCUUAAAUACUCAAACAUUAGGACAAUUUUACUUCACAUAACAAGUAAUCUGCAAAUUGACUAAUGCAGCAACUCAACCUCAACGGAUUCUCUCCAUUUUUUCAACUUCAUCAUGAUGCUUUCACCCUUCAGUGAGUUCCCCUCAUGGUUGCAAGAUGGCAACUGCGUCCCCAGACAUCACAUCCAAGUAAGGCGACAUCCUGAGGAAGAGGAAAUACUGUCUUCCUUGAUAAAAGGAACUACCCUCCCCGGCCUAUUUGCUCUCACAUUUCAUUGGCCAGAAGUGGGUCACGUGGCACUGCCUAAACCAAUCACUAGCCAGGGGAAUGAAAUUGACAUGAAGGCUUAUGUCCCUGGUUCUCAGCGAGGGGCAAUUUUGUCCUGUAGGGGAUAUUUGGUAAUGUUUGGUCACAUUUUUGGUUGUCCCAACUGGGGGUUAGUAUGCUACUGGAAUCUACGGGGAGGGGGCCCCGGGGAUGCUGCUAAACAUCUUACAAUGCACAGGACAGCAGCAAAGAAUUAUCUGGCCUAAAAUGUCGAUAGUGCUGGGGUUGAGAAACCAGGCCAUAGACUGAUUCACUAGGGAGUCCCCUCUCAUGCAGGCGUUGGGGCUGGGAUCUGCCUCCAUGAGGCGUGUGGCCAUAAGCAGAAGGGAAGACACCACACAAAACUGGGGUUUGGAGGAUUUGAAAGAGAAGAGGAGGACUGGCUUUUGGGAAGGGAAUCAACAGUCUCUGUUACAAGCUCUGAUGCUGUUAGAGCUCCCAGCAAGCUCUAACUAGCUCUGACACUGUGUGUGUCCUGCCACUGGGAGUUAGGGGGACAGAACAGAAGCAACACUCAGCCCUUGCCGUCACAUUGCUUCAACCAGACUUGCAUUACUCCCUUUUUACUAUUAUCAUUUGUAUUUUUUCUUCAUGGUAGAAAAUACAGAAACAAAUAAAGAGGCAAAGCCAG